GACCCCAGGUCAGUCGGGACUACCCGCUGAGUUUAA
rnacentral:rRNA from 5 species